GGAAUCAGAUGCAGCUUAGUUCAGAUUUUGCUUCAUAGUCUCACGAGCUGUAAUGAAAGUGUUGGCCAGAAGUGCAGUCAUUUCAAGGCUCCACUAACAAAGGAUGUUCUUCUAAGCUCACUCCUGCCCACAAGAUUUAGUUUCUCACAAGCUGUUGGAAAUUCCUUGACACAUGGACUUCUGUAGGCAGCUCACAACAUCUCAGCUGGCUCUAUCAAAUAAGUCACAGGGCUGGGAUAUAGCUCAGUUGGUAGAGUGCUUGCCUAGCAUGCACAAGGCCCUGGUUCAAACACCAGCACCACACACAAAAAAAGCACAGUAUCUAACCCAUAUUAGGAGGGAGUGUAUUGCACCAAGGCAUGAAUACCAGGGGGCAGAAGUCAUUGUGAGCCAUUUUAGAAGGCAUCUCCUACAGGCUGAGAAUGUACAAAUUGCUGAUCCAGUUUUACAAAGCUAAUGAGUAGCAAACCUGGGAUUUCAUGUCAUAAUCUGCCAACAAAAC
rnacentral:lncRNA from 1 species